UCAGGACGCGGCGGGCCGCGGGGCCGAAGGUGGGGACCCGCGGGCUCCGGGCUGCUGUCCGCCGUCCGCCGCUCCGCUCCCGUCCGCCCGGCCGCAGGUCCCGGGUCCCCGUUCUCCGACCGCGGAGAGGCCCGCGCGGCGAACUCAGAAACAAAACCCAAGAAAUGCCUCAUUCCACAAACAAAGAACUGAUACUUGGUAUCAUGGUCGGAACUACUGGAAUCAGCUUGCUUCUUUUGUGGUACCACAAGGUUCGUAAAUCAAGGACAACAUUGAAUUUACCUAACUUUCUUUCUCUGGGUAAUAAGUUUGAUUCUGUGACUUUUCAAGAUGAAAUGUGUAAUGGCCAAGGAACAGCUGCAAUCUUUCAAGGAAGGCAGCUUCAGAUAUUGGAGAAGUUAAACGAAUUACUGACAAAUAUGGAAGAACUCAAAGAGGAAAUCAGAGUUCUUAAAGAAACGAUUCCAAAGCUGGAGGAAUAUAUACAAGGUGAACUUGGAGGGAGGAAAACUGUUCAUAAGAUAAGUCCUCAGCACAGAGCUAGAAAAAGAAGGCUUGCCACAGUUCAAAGUUCUGGAACAAGCAAUAGUUCAGAGGAAGCAGAAAGUGAAGGAGGGUAUAUUACAGCUAAUACUGACACAGAAGAACAGAGUUUUCCAGUCCCUAAGGCAUUUAACACACAUAUAGAGGAAUUAAAUUUAGAUGUCCUUCUUCAGAAGGCUGAUAAUUUACGUAUGAAUGAAUGUAGCAAAAUGGAGAGUUUUGAACUACUUUGUGAUCACAAAGAAAAGUUUAGAGAUGAAAUAGAGUUUAUUUGGCGGUUAGUUCGUGCUUACGGAGACAUGUAUGAGCUAUCUACUAACACACAAGAAAAGAAACAUUAUGCUAAUAUCGGAAAGACGUUAGGGGAAAGAGCGAUCACUACAGCACCCACGAAUGGACAUUGUCAUCUGUGGUAUGCGGUUUUGUGUGGCUAUGUAUCUGAGUUUGAGGGCUUACAAAACAAAAUCAACUAUGGACAUCGCUUCAAGGAACAUCUAGAUAAAGCAAUCCAAUUUUUACCUGAAGAACCCUUUUUGUAUUACCUCAAAGGAAGAUACUGUUAUACGGUCUCGAAACUGAGCUGGAUUGAGAAAAAAAUGGCUGCUACUCUGUUUGGAAAAAUACCAUCCUCAACUGUAGAAGAAGCUUUGCAAAAUUUCCUUAAGGUUGAAGAACUACACCCUGGUUUUUCUAAGUCCAAUUACUUGUUCUUGGCCAAGUGUUACAUCGAUCUUGAACAAACAGAUGAUGCUAUGAAGUUUUGUAAUUUGGCAGUGUUGCUUCCUUGUGUUACCAAAGAGGAUAAAGAUGCACAGAAAGAAGUGAAAAAAAUAAGCACUUCCUUGAAGAGGUAAAUAGAAGAACUUACUCUUCAGCAAAUCAGAUGUGGUCUACUAAACUUUAAUCCAAGUUGUGUUUUUUUAUUAUCCUUUUUUCUUCUUUGAGGUAAGGGUAGUAUGCUCAGAUUUGAAGGUAAAACCACAUUUCUGCAGAGUGCAUUCCAAUAGUAGCAUGACAAAACUAAUCAUGUUGUUGGCAGAAAUCAAGUUCCCAUAAUGUCAGUACAAAAUUAUCUUUAAACAUGUAUGAUUUAUAUUUUUCCUAUCAAUUAGCUAUAGUCUUCAGAGUAUUUCUUUAAAUAAAAUAUUUAAAUCAA